rnacentral:rRNA from 1 species
GGGCAAAAUGCUCUGAACCUAUUCUCAAACUUUAAAUGGGUAAGAAAUGGGGCGUUGCUUCGGUGAACCUCCAUGGAAAUCGCGAAUUCUUAGUGGGCCAUUUUUGGUAAGCAGAACUGGCGAUGCGGGAUGAACCGGACGUCCGGUUAAGGUGCCAAAGUGCUCGCUCAUGUAGAUCCCAUGAAAGGUGUUGGUUCAUCCAGACAGCAGGACGGUGGCCAUGGAAGUCGGAAUCCGCUAAGGAGUGUGUAACAACUCACCUGCCGAAUGAACUAGCCCUGAAAAUGGAUGGCGCUCAAGCGGGCCACCGAUACCGGACCAUUUCUGCGAGUGCCUAUGCAGAAAUGAGUAGGAGGGCGUGGAGGUCAUAAGCGACGAAGCUCUUGGCGUGAGCCUGAGUGAAGCGGCCUCUAGUGCAGAUCUUGGUGGUAGUAGCAAAUAUUCAAAUGAGAACUUUGAAGACUGAAGUGGAGAAAGGUUCCGUGUGAACAGCAUUUGGACACGGGUUAGUCGAUCCUGAGAGCUCUCUUCAACGACAUUGAACAGGCCGACUUUGCUGCUCGGCAACGCUCGAAAGGGAAUCAGGUUCAUAUUCCUGAACCAGGACGUGGAUAUUGUAUGGCAACAUAAGAGAAGUCGGAGACGUCGGCGCGAGCCCUGGGAAGAGUUUUCUUUUCUUUUUAACAUUGAUUCUCCCGCUGGGCCCUGGAAUCUGAUUAUCAGGAGAGAGGGCCACGGGGAUGGGAAAGCACCCAACCUCUUGGGUGUCCGGUGCGCUCGCGACGACCCUUGAAAAUCCGACGGACAGACUUAUUCGCACCCCUGGUCGUACUCAUAACCGCAUCAGGUCUCCUAGGUGAGCAGCCUCUAGUCGAUAGAACAAUGUAGGUAAGGGAAGUCGGCAAAUUAGGUCCGUAACUUCGGGAAAAGGACUGGCUCUAAGGGUUGGGUGACGCUGGGUCCGCUUGUUGAUGCGGUCGCGGGGCAUGCGCUGUGGGUGCCGCAAGGUGCACGCGCGCGCGCCCCUGGCCGUUGAUCGGGCGGAUUCGGGCCCGGGCGUUUCGGCGCCCGGCCCGAUGCCCCUCUCACGAUUAACAACCGACUUAGAACUGGAGCGGACAAGGGGAAUCCGACUGUUUAAUU